CACUUUUGAAUACAUUAAAUACAACUAAAUGACUCAUCAAGUAUUUGUAGUAGUUCCUGCGGACUUGAUUCAAAAUUUCUAAGAAAUAAGUAACACUUCGGGAUAUAUAAAGGGUUGAUGAUAUGUUCUGAUAUAAUAGAUUACUGGCUACUGAGUAGAAGUUGUGUACGAUUUUACAGUAUGAAUCAAAGAAUUAAAAUAACCCUAUUAAUAGUGUGUUUACUAUUACUGACAAUAGAAGCAGCAAAUUUAGCUGAUUUAAAGCGUCAACUUAGAAGAUUGGGAAUUGCUAGAUCCAUAAUUGCCAGAAUUAUAUGUCAUACUUGUAAACAAACAAACAACCAACCUUGUAUUAGGAGAUAUUGCACGUAGACUACAAACAUUCACAAGUCCAUUACAAAGACCAAAUGUUUAUCAAAGUGUUUAUGUUUAAAUGGUACACUCCUUAGGUUUAUUAUUAAUAUUUUGUUUCGCUUAAUUUUCGUUUUAAGUUCCAACUAUAUUAUACCAAUGUCAGGGCUGUAACGUUUGCGCAGUGGUGGAAUUUACUGGAAUUAUGUUGUUGGUUGAUUUUGCAUUACGGACAGAAGGCAAGAUUCCAUAGUUACUGCAAGUAGUUGCCAAGGGAGGCUUGUGAGAUAUCAAUCAUUAUGGAAAAUUCCAUGGAAAUCUGAUUUCUGCUCUCUAAAACCAGCCCAUGGAAGAUUUCUCUUGGUUUUAUACAGCAACGUCAAUGAGGCUUAGUUUCUAGAUUUAUUAUAUCUUGAUACAAUAAAACAUAAAAAUAUAUGAUUAAAUUGCUUUUUCGGAAAUUAACAAACUUCCAAAAUUUCUAGAGCUGAAUUUCAGCAACACAUUGACUGUUAUAAAUUGACUGUAAACAUGAAUGUGAAUACAUGUACAUGUAUUCUGUAAUAACUUGCCCUUGUCUCGGGUUAAUCGUACCCGCAAAAUGGACUUAUAGAUUUGCUUUGGGACUUGUUAUGUUCGUGACAUAACUUUCAAGUUUAUAUUCCAAAAACGUAUCCGAAGAUAUUGAAACUUUCUCAGCAUGUAUGCAUAUUGGUGUCAAAUGUAUCAAUCCUUCAUAGAUAGGUAACAUAGAAGACCAAAUUUUAGAAUGUAUAUACAUGAUCAGAUGAGACAAACUGUGCAUAAAAUUGGUGUCGAUCUUUUAUAGAUAACGUUUCUGUAAUAUUUCCAAUUGUAUUAUCUUUACCUACGCGGAUAAUAAGAAAUACUCUUGCUGAAAAAGAAACGUUAUCUAAGAUUACUUGGGGAAAUGAAAUGGGUUUAACGUCCUACUGUUAUGCUCCUGUCAAGAGAUUUUUUACAUACACGACAAUGUGUACACGGGACCUCGGUUUUUGUCCCAUCCGAACGACUAGACAGCUGUCGUUAUCAGGCCCUACGUCCUGCAUCGGAAUGACCUUUCUCGGCCAAUGCAUGGAUCGAACACCCGACCUCUAGGCUAGCGAGCCAGCGCCUUACCCAACUUACCCCCGUGACUUACUUGGUAAUUGGAUACUAAGAAAUAACAUCGUUAGAGCGACAGAUACUUUUGGUACGUCUUCGAAAAUCAUAUGAAUAUCCAAUUCAUUUGUAUAAUUGCUUUAAUCGAUGGAUAUAUUUAAUUGAACAUUAAUAGUCCAAUAAAGAUAACUGUUAUAUA